CCUUGACAUACUAAGAACUUUCCAGAGAUGGAUUGGGUGCCUUUCGGGAACUUUAGAUACAGGUGCUGCAUGGCUGUCGUCAGCUCGUGUCGUGAGAUGUUUGGGUUAAGUCCCCGCAACGAGCGCAACCCUUUUUCCUUAUUUUGCCAGCGGGUCAUGCCGGGAACUUUAAGGAUACUGCCAGUGACAAACUGGAGGAAGGCGGGGACGACGUCAAGUCAUCAUGGCCCUUACGGCCAGGGCUACACACGUGCUACAAUGGUCGGUACAAAGGGUUGCUACCUCGCGAGAGGAUGCUAAUCUCAAAAAGCCGAUCGUAGUCCGGAUCGCAGUCUGCAACUCGACUGCGUGAAGUCGGAAUCGCUAGUAAUCGCGGAUCAGAAUGCCGCGGUGAAUACGUUCCCGGGCCUUGUACACACCGCCCGUCACACCAUGGGAGUUUGUUGCACCAGAAGUAGGUAGUCUAACCGCAAGGAGGACGCUUACCACGGUGUGGCCGAUGACUGGGGUGAAGUCGUAACAAGGUAAGCGUAGAUGA
rnacentral:rRNA from 1 species